rnacentral:rRNA from 1 species
GACGUAGGGGCGCAAGCGUUUGUCCGAUUUAUUGGGCGUAAAGAGCUCGUAGGCGGCUUGUUGCGUCGACCGUGAAAACCCGUGGCUCAACUGCGGGCUUGCGGUCGAUACGGGCGGGCUAGAGUUCGGUAGGGGAGACUGGAAUUCCUGGUGUAGCGGUGAAAUGCGUAGAUAUCAGGAGGAAUACCGGUGGCGAAAGCGACUCUCUGGACGGCAACUGACGCUGAGGCACGAAAGCGUGGGGAGCAAACAGG